rnacentral:tRNA from 1 species
AAAGUUUUAUUAUAAAAAAAGUAUAUUUCAUUGUCAAUGAAAAGGUAAAAACUUUA